rnacentral:rRNA from 1 species
AGAGUUUGAUCAUGGCUCAGAUUGAACGCUGGCGGCAUGCUUUACACAUGCAAGUCGAACGGCAGCACGGGGGCAACCCUGGUGGCGAGUGGCGAACGGGUGAGUAAUGCAUCGGAACGUAUCUUCGAGUGGGGGAUAACGCACCGAAAGGUGUGCUAAUACCGCAUAAUCUCUAUGGAGAAAAGCAGGGGAUCGCAAGACCUUGCGCUCUUGGAGCGGCCGAUGUCUGAUUAGCUAGUUGGUGAGGUAAAGGCUUACCAAGGCGACGAUCAGUAGCUGGUCUGAGAGGACGACCAGCCACACUGGGACUGAGACACGGCCCAGACUCCUACGGGAGGCAGCAGUGGGGAAUUUUGGACAAUGGGGGAAACCCUGAUCCAGCCAUGCCGCGUGAGUGAAGAAGGCCUUCGGGUUGUAAAGCUCUUUCAGCCGGAACGAAACGGUCACGGCUAAUACCUGUGAUCACUGACGGUACCGGAAGAAGAAGCACCGGCUAACUACGUGCCAGCAGCCGCGGUAAUACGUAGGGUGCAAGCGUUAAUCGGAAUUACUGGGCGUAAAGCGUGCGCAGGCGGUUUUGUAAGUCAGAUGUGAAAUCCCCGGGCUUAACCUGGGAACUGCGUUUGAAACUACAAGGCUAGAGUGUGGCAGAGGGGGGUGGAAUUCCACGUAGCAGUGAAAUGCGUAGAGAUGUGGAGGAACACCGAUGGCGAAGGCAGCCCCCUGGGUUAACACUGACGCUCAGGCACGAAAGCGUGGGGAGCAAACAGGAUUAGAUACCCCCGUAGUCC